rnacentral:rRNA from 1 species
AUGUGGCGUUCGCGAGCUCGCGCUCUCCUCCUGCUCCGCUCGUCCGCCCCCAGUUCGGCACCGCCGCAGCAGAAUCCACUUCGGAGCUUGGCCCGAGCCCCGCCCCCGCCGCCACGCCUUCUCUCCCGCUUCCUCUCCUCCUCCUCCCAGAAGGCCCCGCCGGCCGCCUCCCCUCCCUCGUCUUCCUCGCCCGGCGCCGCGCCCGGAUCCGCUGCACCGCCGGCCUACACCGGAAACCUGAAGAAAGCACUUGCAGGGUUGAGGAGAAUUGAUUUAGAAGGGUUGCGGUGGCGUGUUUUUGAUGCAAAGGGCCAGGUACUUGGACGGUUGGCAUCCCAAAUAGCUGUUGUGCUUCAAGGCAAGGACAAGCCAACCUAUGCACCUCAUGUGGAAGCUGGAGACAUGUGUAUUGUUCUUAAUGCGAAAGAUAUCUGUGUUACAGGAAGAAAAAUGACUGACAAAAUUUACUACUGGCAUACAGGGUAUAUUGGCCAUCUCAAGGAAAGAAAGCUCAAGGACCAGAUGGCAAAAGACCCAACUGAAGUGAUCCGUAAAGCUGUCAUGCGCAUGCUUCCCCGCAAUAAAUUGCGUGAUGAUAGGGAUCGUAAGCUGAGGAUAUUUGCUGAAGGCGAGCAUCCGUUUCACGACCGGCCUCUCGAGCCUUUCGUCAUGCCGCCACGGCAAGUGCGUGAGAUGCGCCCCCGGGCAAGACGUGCGAUGAUAAGGGCACAGAAGAAGGAUCAGGACAGGGAAGCUAAGAAAGCCGAGGGAGAAGCAGCUAAGAAUGGCAAAGCUGCGGUCGCUGCAUAA